AGCAAAGACCUAGAAAACUAGCAUUAUGAUCCAGACGCUGAGGAUUCAGCCCUUAAAGGGAGUAGCUGCCAUCAGCAACAUCAGUAAAAUGUUCAGAAGAUGAUGCAGGAGACAAUACACAAAGCAAGCCUGACAAAAAUCUGGCCCGCGUGCCUACCCUUCCAUUCUUUGAAAUCCCAGCACUUUGGGAGGCCAAGGCAGGAGGAUUGCUUGAGCCCAGGGGUUUGAGACUAGCCUGGGCAACAUAACAAGACCCCAACUCUACAAAAAAAUUUUAAAAAUUAGCCGGGUUUGGUGGUACACGCCUGUAGUCCCAGCUACUUGGGAGGCUGAGGCACGAGGAUCUCUUGAGCUCAGGAGUUCAAGGCUGCAGUGAGCUAUGAUCACGCCACUGUAUCCAGCCUGGGUGAUGGAGUGAGAUCUCGUCUCAAUUAAAACAACAACAACAAAGAACAUUAAAUGAUAUUAUGAAGGUUAAGUGUCUGGCACAUAGAAUGUGCAGAUAUUCAAUAAAUGGUGGCUAGGCCUGUCACGGUGGCUCACGCCUGUAAUCCCAGCACUUUGGGAGGCUGAGGAGUGCGGAUCACUUGAGGUCAGGAGUUUAAGACCAGCCUGGCCAACAUGGCAAAACCCCAACUCUACUAAAAAUACAAAAAAUUAGCUGGGUG
rnacentral:lncRNA from 1 species